rnacentral:rRNA from 1 species
AUUGAACGCUGGCGGCAGGCCUAACACAUGCAAGUCGGACGGUAGCACAGAGGAGCUUGCUCCUCGGGUGACGAGUGGCGGACGGGUGAGUAAUGUCUGGGGAUCUGCCCGAUAGAGGGGGAUAACCACUGGAAACGGUGGCUAAUACCGCAUAACGUCGCAAGACCAAAGAGGGGGACCUUCGGGCCUCUCACUAUCGGAUGAACCCAGAUGGGAUUAGCUAGUAGGCGGGGUAACGGCCCACCUAGGCGACGAUCCCUAGCUGGUCUGAGAGGAUGACCAGCCACACUGGAACUGAGACACGGUCCAGACGCCUACGGGAGGCAGCAGUGGGGAAUAUUGCACAAUGGGCGCAAGCCUGAUGCAGCCAUGCCGCGUGUAUGAAGAAGGCCUUCGGGUUGUAAAGUACUUUCAGCGGGGAGGAAGGCGAUGUGGUUAAUAACCGCGUCGAUCGACGUUACACGCAGAAGAAGCACCGGCUAACUCCGUGCCAGCCGCCGCAGUAA